AACAUUAUUACCUGAGGAUCUUAUUAAAAUGUAGAUUCUGAUUAAGUAGGUCUGGAUGGGCCCUGAACUUCUGCAUUUCUGCUGAGUUCCUGGUCAACACAGAU
rnacentral:pre_miRNA from 1 species